rnacentral:lncRNA from 1 species
CCUCCCCAACCCACACGCCAUCAACCUCCAGACCCUCUCGCCGUGGCUUAGAGGUGUCUCUGACAACGUGGCACACUGGGAAGGCCUUCUUUCCUGCUACCAAUACAAAUGCAUUCUGAAUUUGAUAUGUCAUUAAAUGUAAAAAUACAGCCAAUUUGAAACAAGCAAAUGGAAAUUCCCAGGAACCAAAAACAGAAAGAAAAAUCAGAGCUACCGCAGUGCUGUCCCUGCAGACAGAAUUUGGGAGAGGUACUCAGAGUCACCUCCUGUGAGCCUAUGCAAGCCAGCUCCUGCACAACCCUGGUUUUAGUCCAGCCUUCUGCAGAAUUCCACAUUAAACAGGAUGAAGAAUAGGUUGUUAGCAGACUGAGGUACUUGGGGCAACAUUUCGUACACAACAGGAGGGAGAAACGACUCCAGGUUGUCUUGUGGUAGAGGAGAUUUUGCCUUGCAAUUUUACAUACUUAUGCUACGUGGAAGGCUGGGUGGCGUGACUUCAGAAAAAUGUUUCCUCAGGAAAGAGACACACAGAGAGAGAGAGAAAGAGAGAAAGAGAGAACCCACCUACCUGUUUUGCAAAAGUCUCAUGAAUCAUCCCUUCCUGUGGUCCUGCUCCCUGAGAUCCUUUCACCGCUCACAGUGGGCUACUUCUAAGAGCGUGCCUGGCACAGGGUCACUGAGAGCAUAGUCUUAAUAAAACAAUGAUGGAUGCUUGUCUCUCUCAAAAAAAAAAAAAAAAAA